CAAAAUAUACCAAAAUACCUCUAGCCUAUACAUGCCAUAUACCAUAUAUACAACUCUCAAAAUGGUACCAAAAUAGAUGUCUGAUAGUGUGAGUGAGUCGUUGACGAUCCCUGGAAUCGAGCUAGCUUUAUAACACUGUAAAACAGAUAACAUUUCACACAGUAAGCUUUAAUGCUUAGUAAGUUCGUACCAUAAAUAAUCAAAAGUUAAUAUAGUACGAAACAACAAAUAAUAAACACCUAGCAGUUCACAAUUCAUACAUCAAUUCUAUUCCAUCUCAUUUAAUAUAUUCAUCAUACUUCGUACACAUAGUAUCAUCUACCACAUAGGUAUCGAACAUACCUGAACUUUUUCGUAUUUAAUCAUUUCAUUCUCACCUCUCGUUCAAAUACAUUAAUUCAAUCGAAAGUCUUUCUAUGCUUUAAGAAUUUGCACACUUAGUGCAUUAAUGAUUAGCCGAAGCUAUAAAGAUCUUACACACUUAGUGCCAUCUCAACUAACUGAAGUUAUCUCGGUAUCGCACACUUAGUGCCUCAUAUAGCCAAAGCUAUUCCAACUCGCACAGUUCGUGCUAUUUAUAACCGAAGCUGUUUGAAUCGUACAUUUAGUGCGGUACAUGGUCGAUUUCUCAUUGUAUUCAAACCAAGCUUAAAUAUAUACAAUUUAUAUAUUAUCAAAACAUUAAAAAACAAAUUGUAACAUCAUUUAUCACGUACGAACUUAUCUUGUACUCGGAAUUGACGAUUUGGAUCGUUUACUCGAUAACAUUCGAUUUCCCUCGAUCUAAAUCUGAAUUCUUCCUUUCUUGACCUAUAUGUAUUCAAAAUUAACCCAUUUUAUCCAACAAAUCAUUCAAUUCAAUCCAUAUACACAUAUUUAGGGCAUUUUACAAAUUAGCCCUCAUAUUUUCACAUUUUAACACUUUAGUCCCAAUUUCACAAAAUCACAAAAUACACAUAAUUUCUUUACACACAAGCCUAGCCAAAUCUUUAUAAUGUUCAUGUAAACCCACAUAUUUCAUUUAUUUCACAUUUUAUUCCCCCAAUUUACAAAUUUCACAAUUUAAUCCCUAAUAUGUAUUUUUACUUAAAAUCACUUUACAAAACAUGCAUAUCAAGCACUAAGCUUUCCUAUUUCAUCAUUUAACAUCACAAAAAUCAUGAAUUCAUCAAUGGAAUCUCAUCAAAUUAUCAACAGUUUCAUGAAUUUAAGCAUGGGCUAGCUAGAACACCUAAAAUGAUCACAAAAACAUAAAAAUCAUCAAAAACCGAGCUCGAAUGCUUACCUAAUUGAGCUUAAAUAUAUCCAAACCCUAGUUGAGCUUCAACCUUUCUUUUUCUUUUGUAUUUUUGGCAACAAGAUGAUAAUAUAACACCAAAUUUAUGUUUUUGUUUUAUAUAAAUUAACAUUAAUAUCAAUUUUCCAAUUUUACCCUUUAAUAAACCAUUUAAAAGUCAUUAACAUAUAAGGCCAUUAUUGUCCACUUACUAUAACCAUGGUCUAAUAACAUAAUAAGGACCUCUCAAUUAAAAAGACAUAGCAAAUAGGCACUUCAACAAAUAGAAAGCCACUUUUACAUUUUCUGCGAUUAAGUCCUUUUUGCAAACUAAGCACACAAUUGAUAAAAUUUUCAUACGAAACUUGCACACAUGCUAAUUCACAUUUUAUAAGCACGAAAAAUAAUAUUAAAAUAUUUUUUUGACUCGGAUUUGAGGUCCCAAAACCACUAUUCCAACUAGGGUCUAAAUCGGGCUGUCACAACUCUCCCCUCUUAAAGAUUUUUGUCCCCGAAAAUCUUACCAGUGAAUAGGUUUGGAUAUUGUUUUCUCAUAGUAUCCUCGGGCUCCCACGUGGCUUCUUCAACCCCGUGCCGAUGCCACAACACUUUCACUAAUGUAAUUUUCUUAUUUCUCAACUAUUUGAUCUCACGAGCUAAAAUAUGUAUCGGUUCUUCAUCAUAAGACAUAUCAGAAUGUAUUUCAACCUCAGUCGGAGAAAUGACAUAUGAAGGAGCUGAUCUGUAUCUUCGUAGCACUGAUACAUGAAAUACAUUAUGUAUCUUUUCUAACUCAGACGAUAAUGCUCGCCGAUAAUCUACUGGUCUAAUUCGCUUGAUAAUAUCAUACGACCCAAUAAACCUCGGACUGAAUUUGCCUUUUUUGCCGAAAUGCAGUACUUUCUUCCAUGGGGAUACUUUUAGAAACACUUUGUCUCCGAUCUGAAACUCAAUAUCUUUUCUUUUUAAAUCUGCAUAAGAUUUUUUACAAUCCGAAGCUACUUUCAAACUAUCAUGUAUUAUUUUUACUUUAUGUUCAGUCUCUUUGAUCAAAUCGACCCUGUGCAUCUUUUUCACACUGAGCUCAGUCCAAUACAAAGGUGUUCGACAUUUGCCACCAUACAAAGCCUCGUAAUGAGUCAUUUUGAUACUCGAUUGAAAGCUAUUAUUAUAUGCAAAUUCAAUCAGUGGUAGAUAUCGUUCCCACGUACUUCAAACUCAAUAAUAUAACAUCUCAAUAUAUCCUCGAGUAUUUGAAUAAUCCGUUAAGAUUGACCAUCCGUCUACGGGUGAAAAGCAAUGCUAAAGUGUAGUUUCGUACCUAACGCAUCUUGCAGUUUCUUCCAAAAGCGUGAUGUGAACUUCAGAUCGCUAUCUGAAACACUAGAAAUAGGUAUUCCGUGCAAUCUCACAAUCUGAUAAAUGUAUAACUCAGCAAGCUUAUCAACUGAAUAAUCUGUACGAACCGGAAUGAAAUAAGCCGAUUUAGUCAAUCUAUCAACAAUAACCUAGAUUGCAUCUUUCUUACUCGGUGACAGAGGUAAACCUGAUACAAAAUCCAUUGUGAUUUUGUCCCAUUUCCACUCCGGAAUCAUAAUCGGUUGAAGUAACCUAGAUGGAACCUGAUGCUCAACUUUAACUUGCUGACAAACUAAACAUUUCGAAACAAAUUUCAUAAUAUCUCGUUUCAUACCAUGCCACCAAUAAAGUUGUUUCAGAUCAUUAUACAUUUUAGUACUACCUAGAUGAACAGAUAACUAUCUGCUAUGAGCUUCAUUCAAAAUCGUCUCAAUCAACCCUGGAUUUCUCGGAACACAUACUCGGCCUUUGAAUCUCAAACAACUCUCAGCAUCAACUUGGAAUUCUGAAUCAGUACUCAAAUCACAUUGAACCCAUUUUUCUAAGAAUUCGUUAUCAACUUUUUGAGCUUUGAAAAUCUGCUAAAUAAAUAACUGUCUCGCUUUUAACUCAGCUAAAACCAAACCAUCAUCAGACAAAGUUCACUGAGUAUUCAUCGAAUGCAAUGCAAACAUUGAUUUUCAACUUAGAGCAUCAGCAACAACAUUGGCCUUUCCCGGAUGGUAGUCAAUUACAAGCUCGUAGUCUUUUAACAACUCUAACCAUCUUCACUGUCGUAGAUUUAGAUCUUUCUGAGUCAUCCUUUUGUGAUCAAAAUAAACAUGACAUUUCUCACCAAACAAAUAGUGGCACCAAAUAUUCAACGCAAAUACUAUAGCUGCCAAUUCCAGAUCGUGUGUCGGAUAGUUCCUUUCAUGCGACUUUAACUAUCGCGAGGCAUAAGCUAUGACUUUGACUUCCUGCAUCAAAACACAUCCCAAACUGUUCAGAGAUGCAUCACUAUAGAUCACAAAUUCUUUACCCAAUUCUGGCUAAAUUAACACUAAGGCUUCAGUCAAUAAAGCCUUCAACUGAUCAAAACUUUUCUGACACUUUUCAGACCAUUCAAAUUUCACAUUGUUUUGAAGCAGUUUCGUCAAUAUUUCUCGAAGAAUUCCAAUCCAGAAUAGCUGAAAUCUUGCUCAGAUCAACUCGGAUAUUGGAUGCUGACACAACAUGUCUCAGAAAACUGACUUCUCGUAACUAGAAUUCACAUUUGCUAAACGUCGCUUGCUUAUCUCGCAAAGUCUGUAGCACUAUUCUCAAAUGCUCAGCAUGUUCAGUUUCAUCACGCGAAUAAAUCAAAAUGCCAUCACUAAAUAUGAAAACAAAUCGAUCUAAAUACGGUCUGAACAUUUUGUUCAUCAAAUACAUAAAAAUAGCAGGUGCAUUUGUUAGUCCGAAAGGCAUAACUAAAAACUCAUAAUGUUCGUACCUCGUUCGGAAAGUAAUUUUUAGAAUGUCUGAAUCUUUUAAUCACAACUGAUAAUAACCCGAUCUCAAAUCUAUCUUUAAAAACACAGUAGCUCCUUUUAACUAAUCAAACAAAUCAUCAAUUCAAGGCAGAGGAUAUUUGUUCUUGAUAGUCAUUUUGUUCAACUGACGACAAUCAAUGCACAUUCUCAUUGUGCCGUCUUUCUUUUUCAGAAACAGAACAUGCGCACCCUAAGGUGAAAAACUCGGUCUUGUGAAUCCUCUAUCAGUUAAUUCUUGCAACUGAAAUUUUAACUCUUUUAACUUAGUCGAAGCUAUUCUAUACGGAGCUAUCAAAAUCGGAGUAGUUCCCGGUACUAACUCAAUGCCAAAUUCAACUUCUCGAAUCGGAGGUAAUCCCGAUAACUCAUCAGGAAACACAUCUGGGUAUACACAAACAACUGGCACUAAUUCAAUCUUCUUUUCAGUCACUUUCAUAUCAAGCACAUAAGCUAAAUAAGCUUCGCAACCCUUUCUCACAUAUUUCUGAGCUAACAUCACUAAAAUCAUUGCUGGCAAUCGAUUCAAAUCAUCUGAUUCAAUACGGGUAAUCUCAUUAUUCUGACAUCUCAAAUCAAUCAUCUUCUGUUGCAAUUCACAACAGCAUCAUGCAUCGUUAGCCAAUCCAUACCCAAGAUUAUGUCAAACUCGUCAAAUGGUAACAACAUCAAAUAUGUGAGUAGACCCUAAUUACACACUUGCCUAAGGGGUUCGAUACUCUAAUUACAAAUUCAAUAGACUCUACCGGCAAAGUCUUACUGGAUACUAAAUUCACACAUAUAUACGAAGGAGUAGACCCUAGAUCUAUCAAUACAAUAACUUUUAUAUCAUAGAGAGUAAAAUUACCGGAAAUAACAUCUGGAGAUGGCACUUCUUCUCGUGCUCAAAUAGCGUAAGCUCGUGCAGGUGCUGAUAAACCAUAAAAGUAGCACUUUCUAAUCCCAUACUUAGCAUACUUUUGGAUGAUUUAUUAUAUAAUUGAGUGAAUUAGAUGCUCUUAAUCCUUUAAUUUCAUGUUUUAUACUCAGAAGAGCAUAGGGGAACAAAAGGAGAAGAAAACGAGCCAAAAAAGACAAAAUAAGCUGAUUGAAGGACCCACCGGUCAAGAUGAAUUCCACACGGAUGGAGCAUACGCCCAUGUGAGCUACACGGGCUAGCCACACGCCCAUGUGGCAGCCCGUGUCGAUAUAGCUCCUAGCUUACCAAAUACGCAGAAAAAGCUAAUUUUUAAGGUUUCUGAGCAGUCUAAAGUCUAUAAAUACAUACCAGAGGAAGACCUAAAGGGGGGCACACAGAGUAGAACACAGGAAUUACUUGAAGAACGCCAACGGAUUCAGCUCGGAAGUAGAAUCUCCUUCAAGACUAAAGAUCUCCCUUCAAUUUCUCUCGAAGUUUUUUGGGUUUCUUUAUGUUUUGUUAUCUUCCUAUUUUUGAGAUGUUUUCCUACUACAACAUGAACUAAACUCCCUAAAUACCUAAAGAGGAUGAAACCUAAGAUGGAUCUUAUUGUUUAAUAUUUUGAAUUUAAUGAUAAAUACUUAUUCUUGUUCUUAAUUAUGUUCUCUUAAUUCUUGUUUUAAUAUUUUCAAGAUAUUAAUUCAAAUUGAUGUGCUUAUUAGUGGAGCAAAAGUCCCUGUUUAAGAGUAGAUCUCACAUAAUUAAGCGGAGUUGCAUGCAACCCUAGAAAUAGGGCGACAUAAAUCUGCCGGAUUAGAUUCAAAUGUAAUAAGAGAAUCCAUAAAUCGAGUUAAUGUGACAAUAGGGGUUUUAAUUAGAAAUAGAUUUCAAUUAAUCAAUCUAGAGUCAGUUGUUUUUAGUCUCAAAAGAGAUAUUAACAUAAUUUAGGGAUUUCUACGGAUCAAGACAAGUGAAUAAAUUGUUAGAUUCAGAAUCAGAAUAAUAAGUGAAGUCUAGGUGGAUUCUUCCUCGGGUAUUGUUUUUAAUAUUGGUUUAUUCGACUAUUUUAUUCACUCUCUGUCUCGUUUAGUAGUUAAUUAGUUGGUUAAUUUUAGAUUAAAACAAAUCUCUUAUAUUUUAGGUUAAAUAAUAGAAAGAAAGUUAAUACUAGUACUUUUAGUCCUUGUGGAUACGAUACUUUGGACUCACCGUGACUAUACUACCAUUCAAUAGGUACGCUUGCCUCAGUCGUGAUCGUAUUCUAGUUUAGUGGUUCCUAAAAUGAUCAUCAGGUGCUCUAGCAUCAGAUCUAGUUGUAGUGUCUCAUGUCACACCUCUACCACCACUCGUAUUUCCCUUAUUUCUCGGUGGUUUAUGUAACGCCCUAAAAAUCUCGAAAUCCAAAAAUCUCGAAAUCUUGAAUUUUUCUUUUUAUGCUUAAUAAUUCUGAUUAAGUGCUAAUUACGCAAAGGUAGGUCUUGGUCAAGGUUUGAGUUCGAAUUAAGAGGUAGAAGAAAUUAUAAGUUAAUUAUUAAAAGAAUCAAGGUUGGCAAGUAGUUGGGCUUUUAAAUAAAGAUAUGGGAAAAUAGCAGCAAAGAGCCUAAUUGAGGAGUGGCUAAGUGACGCCACUUAGAGUGUAGAGAGGUGGCGUUAAUAGCUAGCAAGGAGGUUUAAGGUUCGAAUCCUAGCUUAGUGUUUUUAGAAGAUUAAUUUUGACCUUCUAGAAGGAUGGAAGUGGAAGGAAAGUGGACUCCAAGGGAAAUGUUCAAGAGAGAAAAUUAAGGAAAGGAUCAAGGGGUUAUCAGGGAGAAAAACAAGGAGAUGAGAAGGAAGAAGUGAUGGAGCCGAAUGGGGAAUUAGGCAUGGGAAAAUUCGGCAAUAAGGCUUAUAAAUAGGUGCUAAAUGCUAAGAUAUGAAGCUAAUGACCGAAUUUCCUUCACCUUGUUACCAGAAACUCUUUUCUCUAAAACCCGAAAACCCUCUGCCUUUCUUUUCUUUUUCUCCUUCCUUGUGCCAAAUUCUAUUCUUCCUCUACCUCAUUGCUGAAUUUUCUUUCUUUUUCCUUGGUGCUAAGUAACUCUCUUUUACCAUACAAAUCGCACGGGCAGAAACCUUCUUGACCGAAUACUCUUGGUGCCGCCAGUACCCUUUCUAAUCGGUCAAGCUUAGUGUAAGUGCUUUGUUCUCAUAAUCGAGUUUUGCUAAAUAUUGAGUAUACAUUCCCUCACUUCUUCUAAUCAGUUUUGGGUAGGAAUAGGUAACGAAUCUCAGUCCUUGGAUCUCUGCCGAUUUGCUCCUCCGGUGAAAGACUUUGGCAAGUGCUCUUGAUCUUGGUUGGCCGAAUGUUCAUAGUUAAGGUAAGGAGACUUGUGUUGGAUACGAGUCAUCUAUUAUUCUGGUUUAAUAUUUAAGAUUGAUGCAGAUCUAGGAGUUGAUCGUGGUUAGUGAUUAAAAAAGGGGUUGUUAUACUUGUCGCGCAAGGUAAGGUGAAAGGUGAGGUUUCGAUUUUAGUAAAAAUAUGUAUUAAGCAUGCGAUUAAUUGUAGGAUGAUAUCGUUUUUAGGUUGGUGACUAAGGGAAUCGCAGCACGCUUACUUACCAGGUGUGUACAUACACUGCACACACAAGUAGAUCGGUAAAAGCUGAAAAGCCAAAAUACCGAAAAGUCAAAAUGCCGAAAAGUCUAAAGUUUAGCUACGGUAGUUUACGAGUGCACGAACACUCGUGAGGAGGAAACCGAUAGGUUGUCUGAGGCCCAUGGGCGAUUCCAUGGACUUGGGCUAUGAUCUGGCCAACCGGGCUAAAAUAGGCUUAAUGGGCCCGAUAGGCUGUUGGGCCCAUAAUAGGUAAAAUUUGAUAAUUGAUGCUAUGUGAUAGAAAAUUUGUGUGUGAGCAUGAGGACAAGGUGAUUGGGGCCUAACGGGCCAUAUAGAGGUGAUUUGGGCCUAAUAGGCCAUAUGAAUAUGAAUUGGGCCUGAUGGGCCAUAUGAAUGUGAAUUGGGCGUGAUGGGCCAUAUGAAUGAGAUGGGCCAAGUGGGCCAUAUUCAUGUAUGUAGGGGUUUUGGGCCUAGUAUAUGAUAACUACAUAAAACUUUAUUAAUAUAUUGCGACCGUGGACAAGUCAUAGGGUUAAGGUGUGGCAACAGGUAUAUGCAUGGCUAGGAUUGGAUCUAGGGAGAGCUUGGUACUUAAGCAGUCUUAAUAACUCACCUCCUCUUCUCUGGAAUCCUACCUGGUGCAUAGUAUUCGUUCAUCUUAGCUCACGGGAUUUGUUAACGAGCCAAGGCAAGUGAAAACCGUAAUAUAGGGAAAAUUACCGAAAUACCCCUAAGGGCAAAAAUGACCAAAAUACCCCUAGGUGUUAAAUGUAAGUUUUAUCGAUGUGACAUGCAUACAUAUGAUAUUCUGCUUAGGUUGCAUAUGGGUUGGGAACUAUGGAACGGAGGAAGUAUAUGAGGAUCGCAUGGUUGCCUGACAAUCGUGGAUCCACCGAUGGCUUUUAAAGCCCAAUAUGUAAAUGAAGGUAGUUCCACAACCGGGCUACCAUUGGUGUGUGGGCUGGGUGGGUAGAUAUUUAUAUCCCCAUAUGGUGUGACGGGGGACGGAGCUUUUGUGUAGCGGAUGGAUAAUUUGGAUGGGAUUGCAUUGCAUUUGAUGAUUUCUCUUUGAAUGCUUGUUUUUUAUCGAGGUUUGUACACACUGAGUUUACAAAAACUCACCCCCUCUUUUAUUUUAUUUUCAGGUGAUGCAUAGUAGGCGGUUCGAUGUUUGGAGGGACUCAGGGUGACCAUCUAGUAAGACAAAUUUGGACUUUUUUUUUAAGCUUAUAAGUUUUAUUUUAUUAAGUAUGUUUCAGACCAGAUUUUAAUAAGGUUUUCAUUAUGCUAUUAUUAUUUGAAGUAUUAUUAUUUCUAUCGUAAUUAUGAGAAGUUGAACAUGGGUUUCCUAAAUUAUAGUAUGUUUUCUACGUUUCCGCAACUUAAUUUCUAAAUGAUAAGUUUUCUUAAAUUAAAUUCUUAAAACAAGGCUUUCGCAACUGAAAGAUAUGUUUAUUAAGGUUUCUUUUGUUUAAGAAGGGUUUUCAAUGAAAACACAGUUUUCGCUAAAACACUUCAGUGUGACGCCGAACUCGGCCAUAACAUCCGAGCCGGGUUUGGGGUGUUGCAGUCUACUUCUAGCUGUAGUGUUACUUGGCCUCAUGUUCUGAGCAUUAUCUUUUACCUAACUCUAGGCAAUCUUUUAUAAAGUGAUCUCGUGAACCACAACUGUAACAAGCUCGGUUGUUACUUUUUCCCUAACAAUCUCCAAAAUGUCAUCUUCCACGUUGUUUACACUCAGGUUUUACAUCCUUUGCAUUACCAACACUCGAUACUGAGGUAGUUUAAGCUUUACGGUUGAUAUAUUGCUUUCCACGAUCUCUAUUCUAAUUUUCCACUAAAGCUAUCGAUCAAUCAUUAAAAUCUCUAGAUUUUUUUAAUGAGGAAUGAUAAGAUUUAUUCAUCGAUUGCUUCCUUGAAUCUCUAGCCUCUGAAUCAGCUUUUCUCUUUUCUUUACUGAGAUCUUCAGCUUUACAGGCCCUCUCAACCAGUACUACAAAAUUCUUUCAAUACAAAUAGUGUUAUGUCUUCGUUCAAUCCAUCAACAAAUCUUUUACACUUGAUUUCUUCAGUAGACACAUAUUCCCGGGCAUAUUUGCUUCAGGAAGAGACAGAUGAAGAACAGAAGAAGGAGGAACCAAAUUGGUAAGAGUGGAGGAAGAAGGAAAAUGUCUUACAAAAAUAAAAUCGAUAAGACAUUUUCCCUAAAAACCCAUCUCAUUUACCUUGUUUUAGAAAAUGUUUUACCAAUGGAAUUUAUUUUCAAGCAAACAAACACCGAAAAACCAGAAAAACAUUCCUGGAAAAAAAACAGACCCUAAAAUGGGAAAGUCAUUACUUAAUUGAAUUGGUUAAAUGAGUAAGUUAUAUUAGGACUUGAUAACAUGUCUAAUAAAAAUUUAAAAUAGUAUAAGGACAUAAUUCACUUCUAAUAGCACAUACAAUCACCUUGAUAUAAAUAGUAUAUUUAAGGUUGAUAAAAUUGUCUUGAGCACCAUUAGGCAUAGAAGUAUAUUUAGCACAUGAAAUUUUUAUAUUUCCUCAUGCAUGGUUGACUCGAGAUGGGGACCUCAAAGUUGCAUCAAAGGUCAAGCCACCCUUUUGAAGGUACAUCUGUAGGUUGAUUACUUUAACUAGUAAAUGGUUAUGAUAUUUUAUUUAUGGCGUGUACAUAGGUUCAUUUUGUUGUUUUUAAGACCUUUUGCUACCAGUACAAGUUAAUUUAACCUUAUGCCAUGAUUCUAUAUGAGUUAUAAGUAGUUUGAGAAAACUUGAUUACUUGAUAUGCCUUAGAUGACCAUGCUAUGUAUUAGGUGAUAAGGAAGUGUUCUUUUUGAGGUAUUCGACUUUGGCUUUGGAUUCUUGGAAGCUUAGAAUGUAACACCCCUAACCCGUAUUCGUUGUUGGAUUAGAGUUAUGGAGUAUUACUGUACAAUCAAAAACAUUUAAACUUAACUUCAUUCAAUAACAUUAACAAUUCAUAAACUAAUCAUAUUCAUAUAUAUUGUCUCUAAAUCGAGCCCUCGAUGCCCUAAAAAUACCUUAGAAAUGAUUCGAGACCAGUUUAAAAUCAUUUGGAAAGUUUAGAAAAAAGUCACAAAAUUUUGGAAACAGGGGUCACACAGCUGUGUGCCUCACAUGGUUGAGAGACAUGCCCGUGCCUCAGGCCAUGUAACCUUCGAAAUAGGGACACACGACCAUGUCCUAGCCCAUGUCUCCACUCGUGUAACUCUCUGAGUAGGGUCACAUGGCCGUGUCACACGCCCGUGUGCCAGGCCAUGUAACUCACUGACUUGCAACCUAAGAAUUCAACAAAUGACUCACAAUCGUUUCGCUAGGCCGUGUGUCUCACAAGGCUGAGUCACACACUUGUGUCUCAGGCCAUGUGGACCUAAAUUUACCUAAAAUCAAGUCAUUUCCAAUACCAUUUCAUGCAUAAACAUUUAGAUCAUUUGUGCACACUUUCAAGGCACCAAAACCCUAUCGAAACAUACAUAUAAUUUCCAUUUUAGGAGUCCUAAUUCAACUAACCAAUAUGACAUUCAAAGGCACUACAAACAACAACUAAACAUCUCCUACUUAGACAUGUUUAUAUGCUUAAUUCCACGCAUACAAUUCUAGACCAUUUAAGUAUUAAAACAUACAUCAUUUAGCCACUCUCAAAACAUACAAAACAUACCAUGAAAGACCAUUAUCAAGCCAUCACAAACUUACCAAAAGAAUCAUAUAUACAUACACAUAUAAGUGACCAAAAUUACUAACCCAAGCAAGCAUUGUAAAUUCAUCAACAAUCCAUAAGCAUCCAAGCACAAGCAUAUCAAGUUACCAUUUUACAUAUUCAUCAAAAACAUCACAAUAACCCACCCUAUACAUGCCAUUAUAAACCUUAGCCAAAAUAUACAGAAACUAUUGAAUUGACUUCUGGAUAGCGUGAUAGAUCUCCGACGAGCUUCCAACCAAAUCAAACUUUCGAUAAUUUAUAAAACAUAGAAAAGAAACUACGUAAGCAAUUAAUGCUUAGUAAGCUCAUAUGAAAUAAAAACAUAACUUACCAUUUCAUUUGCAUAUAUAAAACAUAAACAUAAUAUAAUCCAAACUAUAAGCUUGGCAUAAGCCUAUACAUCACCAUCAAUAUGCAAGUUAGCACACUUGCACAUAAAUUAAAUAAGCCAUUCAUAAUAUAAUUUAUUUACCAAAUGAAAUACAUCAAUUAGUUCAUGCAUUCUUUCCAUAAUAAUAUGCUUAAUUCCAUUUGAACACUUACCUUUUCAAUCCCUUUUCUUGCCCGUUGAACCAUUUAGAAUUUCAUUGGAUACUCGGGAAAGCUCACACAAAGUGUGCCUUUACAUAUAACUGUAACCUUUCCUUUACAUCAUUGCUCACACAAGCUGUUAAAUAUAGGAUUGAUUUUUUUAUACAUUGAUCAAUUCACAUUAUAGCUUAUAAUGUUAAUGUUAUUUGUAUCCUACGAAUUCCUAAGGUUCAACCAAGACUCGAUAAUCAUCAUAGCAUUGAUUUUUUUAUACAUUGAUCAAUUCACAUUAUAAUUAACAUAAUAACAUAUAUUUUAAAUAUCAUUAAGACAAUAACUGUUCAUACGAACUUACCUCGAUGAUUAGGACUGUAGAAAUUAGGUCGAAUUAAUCUAAAGCUUUUGCCUUUCCUCGAUUUAGCUCCGGUUGUGGUUUAUCUUGAUCUAAAUAGAUAAUUAUAUUCAAUUAAGUACUUCAAUUAACCUCAAACAUUAAAUUCAAUCCAUAACUCUCAUUUAUGCAAAAUUACUAAUUUACCCCUAACAUUUUAACUUUUUCACAAUUUAAUCCUUAAGUUUAUAACUUAGAAUCUAACCUUUUUAAUCUAGUUCCAUGUUAAUCAAACAUGCAAGGGACCUUGAAACAACUCAUAUUUACCAUCAUUUCAUAAUAAAACCCUAAAUUUUAAUUUUAUACUUCUAACAAUUAGUCCCUAAUUCCAAAAUUCAUAGAAAAUCAUUUAACAAAACUUGUUUAUUUUUCAACCAACGUUCAUAAUAUAUCAUUUAACAUCAAAAACCAUUCAAGAACAUUCAUGGCAUAGCCCUUAACCUUUAACAAUUUAACAAAUUGACCUCCGGGCUAGCUAGAUUAAGCUACAAUGAACUCAAAAACAUAUCAUUAAAAACGGGUUUAAAAACCUACCAUGCAUGAAGAAAUUUCAUAGUAGAAAACUCCCCUUCUUUUAACAAUGGAUAUUUGGUUCUUUUAGGGUUAGUAAAUAAUGAAGAUAAUAAUUUUUAAUUCAUCUUAUUUUAACACAUUUUACUUGUUUUAUCUAAUUACCAAUUUAACCUUUUUAUUUCAUUAAAACUACCACAAAACCUUUCCAAUAACAUCCACUAGUACCUUAAAUGGUAUAUUUAUCCCUCAAGUCCUUUAUCUUAAAGUUUCAUAACCAUUUGACCUUUUUUACUAAUAAAACUCAACUUUUUCACCUUUUACGAUUUAGUUAUAAAAACAUGCUAAUUUUCUAAUUGGCUAAGAUGACUUUAUGCACCUUUUUCUUCAUUAGUAACACAUUUAAAAUAAUUCACUAACACCAAGUCAUAUUCAUCAGUUGUUUCAUGAUAACCAAAUUUCACAACACAUUAUUAAUUAAUAAGGCACAUGUAGCUAAGUUUCACCAAGCAACAAUAUCACUAACCACUUAUUGUCAACAUUUUUUACCAUGGAAUUUACACACCUUCAUUACUUAGUCAAACUCACAUCCAUUACACAAUCUCAUCAUUUUCCUAAAUAUCAACAUGUGAGCUUCCAAAGUUGUCUCAUACAAUAAAUCUAAAAUACCAAGUGAGUAGAAGUAGGAAACACCAUUUCUUACAUUAUUGAAGCUUUCUCUCUCUAGAUUCAACUUUCUCCCUUAAGAACUAUCAAAACUCUUGCUAAAAAAUAAAGAUUUGAAGGUGGAUUCAAGCUUAUGAAAGAGUUUUCUAGUUGAUUUUGGUGAGAAAUCAAUGUGGGUGAUGAGAUUUUUAGUACGAUUGAAGAAAUAGAGUAGAAUAAUGAAGAGAGAAAAGCUCUCACUUUUCCACGGG
rnacentral:lncRNA from 1 species